rnacentral:tRNA from 1 species
GAAGGUAUAGUUCAGUGGUAGAGCACAUGCUUAACAUGCAUGAGGUCCUGAGUUCAGUCCUCAGUAUCUCCA